UACGUAGGGGGCGAGCGUUGUCCGGAUUCAUUGGGCGUAAAGCGCUUUAAGGCGGUUCGCUAAGUCGGGUGUGAAACCUCCAGGCUCAACCUGGAGACGCCACUCGAUACUGGCGUGACUAGAGUUCGGUAGGGGAUCACGGAAUUCCUGGUGUAGCGGUGAAAUGCGUAGAUAUCAGGAGGAACACCGGUGGUGUAGACGGCUUUCUGGACCGUAACUGACGCUGAGACACGAAAGCGUGGGUAGCAAACAGG
rnacentral:rRNA from 1 species